CUGCAUUUGGAAAUGGUGAAAGGAAAGAGGUUCUUCAAUCAGUAUGUCUUUUUUUCACAUCAACGUGGCACUUAACAAACAUAUUAGAGAACUGCUUCAUAGUUCAGUGUCAGCAGGGAUCAGUUGUGGAGAGGCCUGCAGCAUAUUUGGAAAUCAGCCAUCAAGAGUUGGCGUCAAUAUUGGCACGAAGAAGUUGCACAGAUAGCAAAGGAAUUUCAGGCUCAGUUACAACGGCCAUUGAUAAAGUACACUGG